AAAAUACUUGAUUUUUAGUUAAGAUUGAUUCUGUCUUUUUGAAUUGGCUAUAAUUUGAUAGUUUUAUAUACAAGUUUUUGCGCGUUGAAUAAUAUCUUAAGGAUAAUUUUUUUUAUUUGUAGUUUUUGAUUUUGAGAAUUUUGGCAACAUAGACUCAGUUAAUUUAUUUUAGAAUUGUUUAAAAUUGUGCCAGCAUACGCGGUUACACAAUUAAUUCAAGUUAAUUUUUUUGGUUAAUAUUAAUUUUUUAUGUUAGGGAUUUAAUUAAUUUUUAUUGGGUGAAAUUUUAAUUUUAAUUAUAUUCU
rnacentral:rRNA from 1 species